rnacentral:rRNA from 1 species
AUGGCGUCGCCCUUUCCGCCCGGCUCUUCUUCCUCUUCCGCUUCGUCGCCCCUCUCUUACCUGAUCCCUAGGCAGCCGCCGCCUUCCUCCGUCGUGGCGCAGGGCUUCUCGUGCGGCGCUCUGGUGCAGCAGGCCGGAGGAUUAUACGGUGCCGACGGCGUCGGGGCGCUGGAGGUGAGGCAGGGGGGCAGGCACGCGGGCCACCCGCCGCUGCCGCGCCCGCCGCCGCGGCAGUGCCCGCGCUGCAGGUCGGCCAACACCAAGUUCUGCUACUACAACAACUACAGCCGCAAGCAGCCGCGCUACUUCUGCCGGGCGUGCCGCCGGCACUGGACCGAGGGCGGCACGCUCCGCGACGUGCCCGUCGGUGGCGGCCGCAAGAACAGGCGCAACGGCGGGGGCAAGGGCGGCGCUAAGGCUCCCUCCACCGUCGUCACCACGGAGGUGUCUGCUGCGGCGGCGACGGCGGCUACCCAGGGCAGCGGUGCAGGCGGACCGGCCGGCGCCGUCGACGCGUUCAUCCCGGCCGACAUCCUGAGGCAGAUGCUGUCCCAGUCGGCAAGCUUCACGGCCGUCGGCGGGGGCGGCGGCUACGGCAUCGACCUGAGCGCGUGGCAGCAAAUGAGCGGUGCCGCACCAGCACCGCAGGGCGCCAGCGAUGUUGGCGCGGCCGGAGGCACGGCUCUGGCGGCAGAUGCCAACUGCGGCACAGGCGCGCAGUACUGGAGCGGAUGGCAGCUGCAGGAUGACAUGCCCGGUUUCGACGGGACUUUCUAA